CGUCCACUUCAGAUGGGAAGAAUCUGAGCAGUAUCAGAGAUACUGCAGGAGUGAACCUGCUCUCCUCCACUACUUCCAGUUACAUGCUCUUUACUCUGGAUGAAAUGGAACCCCACAACACACUGAGCUUCAAUAGAUGGCAACUUCAAUGAAAGGGAAGAACUAAAACCAGAGCUCUGCACCAGCCAGUGAUGGGAAUGGAAACAUCUCUCUGUUCCAUCCAAAUGUAAUCUCCAGACCAGCCUUCCCUCACA
rnacentral:lncRNA from 14 species